CAGGUGGCCGGCAGCAAUUGACAGGUGGCCGGCAGCAGUCGGGGUCUGAUUGAGGCAGCCAGGGAUGGGGGUAGCAUUGGCCCCUCCUCACUCUCCUCCUCUCUAAAGCCGCUGAAUCUUCUGACUAUGAGAAGCAGCUGAUACAUCCAGAAUCCUCUACAACCAGUCCCUCCCCUCUCCUCCCUAGAAGCCUCCAUCCCCAGAGCUGCCAAGGAGUGAGCUGGUGACUCACCCAGCCACCCCCCACCCCACCCCCCCGUGUCAGAGCGCCCACCCCUGCACACACCCCUGGUGGGGGAGACACUUGAGAACCACAGCUCUGCCUCUUCCUCACUGCAGCCUUGCAGGCAAAGGCAACAAAACCAGCAAACGGCCAAAAUAACUCUCCCUGGGAGCUGCACAGACAAGUUAUGGGGCACCCAGGCCAUGGAGACGAGACUAAGGCAGCGCUGCAGGUGCUCUUAGGGAAAGAAGUCCCAGAGAUAUGAUGGAGCAGACAGCGAGAUUAAGAAGAUCUUCAAAUCAGGGGUGCAGCUCAUCAAUGCUCCUGGCCGUCGCCAUCGUUGCUGACACAGGCACAGACGGCGUUGUUCCUGCUCAUGUAACUGGAUGGCUGUGGCCCCUCUGUGUUUUAAUCAAAAACCGUGGAAGCACCUUAUUGAAAAACUUUCCUUGACAUCAGCUGAUAAAAUCAAGAAGGCACCAGAAUCAAAACUCAAAGUAAUUGUCAGUGGCUCGGAAGAAAAUCGCAGAGAUGUUAUCAGGGUUCCCUUUUAAGAAAUGCUGCCUCAACAUCCCGGCACAAAGAAUGACACUGUGAGAGCCACGCAGGUGCCGAUGACUCAGAGCUGGGAAGGGGCUGGCUCCUAAGAAUACCUUAGCUCGUUUAUUUCACUUACAGCUUUCUUUUCACAUGUGCAAAACAGAAUCAUGUAGUAAAAUCCAUGUCUAAAUAAGUCUAGAUGAAUGUUCUCAACACAUACAAAUAUUCUAAGGUAAAGAAAUCCCUGGGUCAUAGUUUAUUGGCAGUGUUUUUCUUUCUUGUAUGUGGAAUAAACCUGUUUAUAAGUGA